AAUGCUAUCUUUAUUUGGAAGGAAACUCUGUUUUGUGGUCAACAGACCUGAGGCUUUGUUCUUAAGACACAUUAAUACUGAGCAAAAUGGGAUGUCCUAAGGACUUAAUGAUUAAGGAAGGGAGUGGACUUGGACAGAAAGGAGAAAAGUUCAAAGGAGAAAGGAUCAUGUUAAAGAAAUGGAGUUUCUGUGAAGUUACAACCGCAGCUCUGCCACUUACCUUGGGUUUUCUUCAAUAUUUGCAUAAUAUACUAGAAGUUCAUGAAAGAAACAAGAUGGACAUUUAAAAGAUGGGAUAAAGAGCUACUCAGCAGAUCUGUAUGCUCCUGUUAUAGCUAUUCAGCUAGAUAGCUAAGCAUUUGAUUGUGAGAUUGAGAGGGAAGAAGAGACCGUGGGAGAGGGAUGAAAUAAUAUUUGUUCAGUUAUUCUAAGGUUGCCAGGCAACAUGUUGGUAAGUUGUUCAGAGGGGAAAACUUCUUUAUCUUGUACUUGGAACUUUUCUAUGAGUUUGACAUUGUUUAAAAGGAAAAAAAAAUAAAAUAUAAUGUGAAUUUUA